rnacentral:misc_RNA from 1 species
AAGUCGUAACAAGGUCUCCGUUGGUGAACCAGCGGAGGGAUCAUUACCGGGUCGAACGACUGCCCGAACCCUAUGGGUGCACACUUAUUUCGAGAAACCUAUUCCGCUGCGGCGGGCCGCUCGCUGGGGGAGCCCUGGGGCCGAGAGGCCGGCCCGCCAAAGCGACUUUCUGGAGAGACACUGCCUGGAAAAAUCCUCUGAGAGGGCACCGAAGCCUUCCUUGCGGAAGCAUUCACAACCCACAACAAUGGAUCUCUUGGCUCUG